UAUGGUUGCGCACGUGCGCUAUCAUCUAACAUUACUCACCCUGAACGCUCCAUGGACGGAGCAGCGCCGCCAGCCCGGCUACCACCAAAAACCACCAGGACCGUUUCGUUCACAGCCUCCGGCACCGUUGAAGAAUUUGUCAAGUAAAUGGGUGUUUGAAUGUUCAGCCUUAAGCAAACAGGGGCAGCGAUUCUUUUCUUCUCUGGCCACCGCCACCGCCACUGCCGCUGGAGAUACCUCAGCCACCAACCGUUUGAUCAAGAAAUUUGUGGCAGCAUCACCUAAAUCCGUUGCUCUCGAUGCACUCUCCAAUCUCCUUUCUCCUCACUCGUCUUAUCCUCACCUCUCGGCUUUUGCAUUCCCCCUUUACUUGAAGAUCACAGAAGCACGGUGGUUUGAGUGGAACCCAAAGCUAGUUGCCAAUCUUGCUGCGUUGCUUGAUAAACAAGGCCAGUACAAAGAGUUAGCAACUCUAAUAUCUGAUUCAACUUCUAAAUUACAGC
rnacentral:misc_RNA from 1 species